rnacentral:rRNA from 1 species
AAUGAGCCUGCGAGUUGUGGUGUCUGGCAAGGUUAAGCAAACGCGAAGCCGUAGCGAAAGCGAGUCUGAAUAGGGCGCUUAGUCAGAUGCUGCAGACCCGAAACGAAGUGAUCUAUCCAUGAGCAAGUUGAAGCUAGUGUAAGAACUAGUGGAGGACUGAACCCAUAGGCGUUGAAAAGCCCCGGGAUGACUUGUGGAUAGGGGUGAAAGGCCAAUCAAACUUCGUGAUAGCUGGUUCUCUCCGAAAUAUAUUUAGGUAUAGCGUUGUGUCGUAAUAUAAGGGGGUAGAGCACUGAAUGGGCUAGGGCAUACACCAAUGUACCAAACCCUAUCAAACUCCGAAUACCUUAUAUGUAAUCACAGCAGUCAGGCGGCGAGUGAUAAAAUCCGUCGUCAAGAGGGAAACAACCCAGACUACCAGCUAAGGUCCCUAAAUCUUACUUAAGUGGAAAACGAUGUGAAGUUACUUAAACAACCAGGAGGUUGGCUUAGAAGCAGCCAUCCUUUAAAGAAAGCGUAAUAGCUCACUGGUCUAGUGAUUUUGCGCGGAAAAUAUAACGGGGCUAAAGUAAGUACCGAAGCUGUAGACUUGCACACAACUUAGAUUAUUUAAGUUUAGAAUAUGAGAAACUAAGUUAUGUUUAGUUAUAUUUUUACUGAUUUUUAUAGAGUAAAGAUAGAAAUAAAACUUAGUAAAAUCAGUAAAAAUAUUCUUAGGCUAAAGUUAAGUAGUUUAAGUUGUGUGUAAGUGGUAGGAGAGCGUUCUAUUUGCGUCGAAGGUAUACCGGUAAGGAGUGCUGGAGCGAAUAGAAGUGAGCAUGCAGGCAUGAGUAGCGAUAAUUAAUGUGAGAAUCAUUAACGCCGUAAACCCAAGGUUUCCUACGCGAUGCUCGUCAUCGUAGGGUUAGUCGGGUCCUAAGUCGAGUCCGAAAGGGGUAGACGAUGGCAAAUUGGUUAAUAUUCCAAUACCAACAUUAGUGUGCGAUGGAAGGACGCUUAGGGCUAAGGGGGCUAGCGGAUGGAAGUGCUAGUCUAAGGUCGUAGGAGGUUAUACAGGCAAAUCCGUAUAACAAUACUCCGAGAACUGAAAGGCUUUUUGAAGUCUUCGGAUGGAUAGAAGAACCCCUGAUGCCGUCGAGCCAAGAAAAGUUUCUAAGUUUAGCUAAUGUUGCCCGUACCGUAAACCGACACAGGUGGGUGGGAUGAGUAUUCUAAGGCGCGUGGAAGAACUCUCUUUAAGGAACUCUGCAAAAUAGCACCGUAUCUUCGGUAUAAGGUGUGGUUAGCUUCGUACUAGGAUUUACUCCGAAAGCGAAGAAACUUACAACAAAGAGUCCCUCCCGACUGUUUACCAAAAACACAGCACUCUGCUAACUCGUAAGAGGAUGUAUAGGGUGUGACGCCUGCCCGGUGCUCGAAGGUUAAUUGAUGGGGUUAGCAUUAGCGAAGCUCUUGAUCGAAGCCCGAGUAAACGGCGGCCGUAACUAUAACGGUCCUAAGGUAGCGAAAUUCCUUGUCGGUUAAAUACCGACCUGCAUGAAUGGCGUAACGAGAUGGGAGCUGUCUCAAAGAGGGAUCCAGUGAAAUUGUAGUGGAGGUGAAAAUUCCUCCUACCCGCGGCAAGACGGAAAGACCCCGUGGACCUUUACUACAGCUUGACACUGCUACUUGGAUAAGAAUGUGCAGGAUAGGUGGGAGGCUUUGAGUAUAUGACGCCAGUUGUAUAUGAGCCAUUGUUGAGAUACCACUCUUUCUUAUUUGGGUAGCUAACCAGCUUGAGUUAUCCUCAAGUGGGACAAUGUCUGGUGGGUAGUUUGACUGGGGCGGUCGCCUCCCAAAUAAUAACGGAGGCUUACAAAGGUUGGCUCAGAACGGUUGGAAAUCGUUCGUAGAGUAUAAAGGUAUAAGCCAGCUUAACUGCAAGACAUACAAGUCAAGCAGAGACGAAAGUCGGUCUUAGUGAUCCGGUGGUUCUGUGUGGAAGGGCCAUCGCUCAAAGGAUAAAAGGUACCCCGGGGAUAACAGGCUGAUCUCCCCCAAGAGCUCACAUCGACGGGGAGGUUUGGCACCUCGAUGUCGGCUCAUCGCAUCCUGGGGCUGGAGCAGGUCCCAAGGGUAUGGCUGUUCGCCAUUUAAAGCGGUACGCGAGCUGGGUUCAGAACGUCGUGAGACAGUUCGGUCCCUAUCUGCCGUGGGCGUAAGAAGAUUGAAGAGAUUUGACCCUAGUACGAGAGGACCGGGUUGAACAAACCACUGGUGUAGCUGUUGUUCUGCCAAGAGCAUCGCAGCGUAGCUAAGUUUGGAAAGGAUAAACGCUGAAAGCAUCUAAGCGUGAAGCCAACUCUAAGAUGAAUCUUCUCUAAGCUCUCUAGAAGACUACUAGUUUGAUAGGCUGGGUGUGUAAUGGAUGAAAGUCCUUUAGCUGACCAGUACUAAUAGAGCGUUUGGCUUAUCUUUAAUAAAGCAU